AUUGAACGCUGGCGGAAUGCUUUACACAUGCAAGUCGAACGGUAACAGGUCUUCGGAUGCUGACGAGUGGCGAACGGGUGAGUAAUAUAUCGGAACGUGCCCAGUCGUGGGGGAUAACGUAGCGAAAGUUACGCUAAUACCGCAUACGAUCUAUGGAUGAAAGCGGGGGAUCGCAAGACCUCGCGCGAUUGGAGCGGCCGAUAUCAGAUUAGGUAGUUGGUGGGGUAAAGGCUCACCAAGCCAACGAUCUGUAGCUGGUCUGAGAGGACGACCAGCCACACUGGAACUGAGACACGGUCCAGACUCCUACGGGAGGCAGCAGUGGGGAAUUUUGGACAAUGGACGCAAGUCUGAUCCAGCCAUUCCGCGUGCAGGAUGAAGGCCCUCGGGGUGUAAACUGCUUUUGUACGGAACGAAAAGGUCUCUCCUAAUACGAGGGGCUCAUGACGGUACCGUAAGAAUAAGCACCGGCUAACUACGUGCCAGCAGCCGCGGUAAAAC
rnacentral:rRNA from 1 species